UCCCUGGUGGCUUAGAGGGUAAAAGCGUCCGCCUGCAAUGUGGGAGACCCGGGUUCAAUCCCUGAGUCGGGAA
rfam:TPA: Bos taurus chromosome 7, whole genome shotgun sequence.